CGCUAUUGAUAGUAUUUUAGCGCUAUAGGUUAUUUUCUAUGACCAAUACACUCACAUUUAGGUUCAAGCACAUUUUCGCGUAGUAAGGAAACCUCUUCCAGACCAAAAAAAAACCUCAGUUGCCUUUGUACAGGUUGUAGUAUGAAUCUAAGCUCUUCCAACGGUCUACAUCGAGUAACCAGUUUGCCGGCAAAGACACUUAAAAAGCAAAACAGGCGCAAGCGGUUCAAUCGUUGCCGGCGACGGAAAAACAUAAAACUGGUGGCCACACGUCCGGCUAGUUCGAUACACGUAGCGAUACAUCCUGCCCUACCGUCAGAAUCGCCCGAACCACCUGUUGUUGACAGUAGCUGGGACAUCAAUUCGUACCGCACCCGGUACGAUACCGUAUCGCUGUGGAACCUAAAGAAAUGGUUCAUGGAACUGCACAAGGAAACUAUCCCGGAGCAUGAGCUAGUCCCUUUGGCGCAGGUAUUUGCCAGCAUGGAAGCGUACGACUGCACGUACGCGCCCGAGCUGAUGGAACGGGCGAGCCAGCUCGGGGAACCGAUCGCUCGAGUGUACUGCGAGCUGAAACAGCACAAGUGUGCCCGCACUCUCGUGUCGGCCGAUGCGGCGGUCCGCGCUUGGCUGGACGGUGUUACGUACGCGGACGAGCAGGAGUCCAUCCGGCAGAAGCAAAUUGCGCAGAUCGCUCCCGUGUUUCCCGCUCAAACGUUGGCCGAGAUAUUCCAAAACAUUGUGGUGGUGAACAACUCGUUGAAGGAAACGACGGAAUGGUUUGAGCGGCUCGGCGGCGGUACGAUAUCGAUCGCGAUCAGUCCCAUAUCGUACGGCGUGUUUGAGGUGAAGGCGUACGCGGCCAACUUUUUCAUCAACAAGGCAGCCGGCACGUACCAGAAGGCGUACGCGCAGUGUGUGGCGGAUUUGUUGGAAAUCUUGAAAAACUACUGCUAUCAGGUGAAUUACAUACAACGGUUUUCCUACCUGCAAUACAAUGUUGAACGGUUGCCGCAGGAAGGUGAGCUGCAACCGGCGGGACAAUGUUUGCAGCAGAACAACAUCGGCUACCGGAUGCUGCAAAAGCUCGGCUGGACCGGGGGACCGCUUGGGUACAAGCAGACCGGCAUCCUGAACCCGAUCGAGGUGCCCGCCAAGCACGAUCGCCGUGGGUUGGGCUGCACCAAGGCCAAGAAAAGGAAACCGGAGAAAGCUGACCAUGGGGACGGGGACCACUGUGCACUGGAUUUGCACUUUUACCACGAGCUUAUGCUCUCGAUCGUCGCCCGCAAACCGUACUACGAUCUUAUCUUUUCGCCCGAGUUUACCGAAAAUGAGCGUAUCGUGUUAACCCGAUUAGCGGCACAGUGGCGGCUUCGCUGUGAAACGCGGCUAGCAGUCACUGGGCAGGCUCAGUUUGUCAUCAAGCGCUAUCCGCUACCGCCCCACGACGUCCUGCUGCAGGUGCUGAUCGAAAAGCAUCCGCUCGUGUCCAAGUACUACGAGGUAGUACCGCCCAAGGUAGGACUCAUAUCGCUCUGAUCGCUACCGGUACCGGCCGGGACGAAUGUAUUGUAGAAAGUGUGAACUUUGCGUGUGAUUUUAGAUGGUUGAAAAGGUAGAAGAGUUCAGGGUUACCACCAUACACUAUGCGUAUGGGAUGGUAGUGCUCUGCACGCAUUACUUACUAAGAGGCACAUUAAGAGACGCGUAUGAGCGUAAGUAAGAGCGAACUAGAUGGACCUGAAGCUUGGAUUAGUCGAUAGUGGAACUGGCGAUAGAAUACAGCUUCACUUUAAACCCGAUAAUUCCGCCAAGCGUGUAGCGCUAGAGAGAAUUAUUAUACCGAGCUGAUUUUAGUGCAUUAAGUAUUUACCAUCUUGGAAAUAAGCAUGAAUAUUGUGCAAAAGCGAAUAAAAUGAA